UACAGAGGUCCCGAGCGUUGUUCGGAUUUAUUGGGCGUAAAGGGUGCGUAGGCGGCGGAGUAAGUUGGGUGUGAAAUCCCGGGGCUCAACCUCGGAAUGGCAUUCAAUACUGCUUCGCUAGAGUACUGGAGAGGAGGCUGGAAUUUACGGUGUAGCAGUGAAAUGCGUAGAUAUCGUAAGGAAGGCCGGUGGCGAAAGCGGGUCUCUGGACAGUUCCUGACGCUGAGGCACGAAGGUCAGGGGAGCAAACGGG
rnacentral:rRNA from 1 species